rnacentral:rRNA from 1 species
CCUACGGGAGGCAGCAGUGAGGAAUAUUGGUCAAUGGGCGUAAGCCUGAACCAGCCAAGUCGCGUGAGGGAUGAAGGCCCUAUGGAUCGUAAACCUCUUUUAUAAGGGAAUAAAGUGCGGGACGUGUCCCGUUUUGUAUGUACCUUAUGAAUAAGGAUCGGCUAACUCCGUGCCAGCAGCCGCGGUAAUACGGAGGAUCCGAGCGUUAUCCGGAUUUAUUGGGUUUAAAGGGUGCGUGGGCGGCGUUUUAAGUCAGCGGUGAAAGUCUGUGGCUCAACCAUAGAAUUGCCGUUGAAACUGGGAGGCUAGAGUAUGUUUGAGGCAGGCGGAAUGCGGGGUGUAGCGGUGAAAUGCUUAGAGAUCACGCAGAACCCCGAUUGCGAAGGCAGCCGGCCGGGCCAUGACUGACGCUGAGGCACGAAAGCGUGGGGAUCAAACAGGAUUAGAUACCCUGGUAGUC